ACUCACGACCAUACGUUUGCCAGGCAGGCGCUCAUGCCACUGAGCUGUAUCCCCAGCCCCUCCAUGUCCUGUUAAAAGACAGGGUAGGAGGCCAGCUGGACCCUUAGAUCCUUGGCCUCUCAGUGACUCCUUCAUCAUUUGUCUUCGUCCUUCAUCUCAUAUAUUUUAGUUUAUCUCAGACUGUGUCUUUCCAAUAUGGAGCAGCCUGAACCAUCCAAACUGAUGACAGUGCAGACGUUUCUGAUGCAGAGAAAGCAGCCUGGCUUCAGCACAUGACCAGCAUUCUCAUUUCCCACCAGCGAAUGGAUCUUGGCUCCGCAGCUACAUUCUGAUCAGGAUGAAUGACAUGUAUAAUUCAAAAAUCAAGAAAACUGCUCAAGUACAACGGGUGAGGCUUCUGCCAAAGUUGAAAAUUAUUAGGAACUGUGAUUUUGGCUGAGCACACAGCUCUGUUUUGAACUCUUUUAUUUCUGUGUUACUGCUCAUUCACUUAAAGAGAAACAUGAGUCAGAGACAAGAUCUCUUUCCCUUUUCAUGUUUCACCAAUUUAUCUUCCUUGGCAUAAUAAAUUUCGCAAGCCAAAGAGUUGA